CGGUAUCUCACCGCUGCCUCGGUGCAGGUAAGGAUACUAAAGCCCAGAGAAGGGCGUUUACUUGUUCAAAGUCACGCAGCUUUAUCCAAAAGUAAAGCACGGAAGAAAUUUGGUAGGCUUUGCGGUCAGAGAGAGUUGGGUUCAAAUCCUGGAUCUGUCAUCAUGUUCCUUGGCAUAAUCCAGGACAGAGGAGUGAAAGGAAUUCCGGGUUAAAUCCCAUUAUGGCGGGAAGAGAGAACAUUAUGAAGACAGACAUCCCAGGUGGAGACCCAACCCUGCCACUUCCUGGCUGUGUCAACUUGGUGCGUGGGUGCCCUGCUCAGACACCCCUCUGAGGAGGUAGAGGACUUGUCCCAGCUGUUGGCAGUGCUGGCGGCCCCUUGAGGGACUGACUGCCUGAGUUGUGAGGAGUCCUCUUGCCCAAGAUGUCGACCUCAGGAGCACUCCUCGAUAAACCUCCAGCGCUCGAAACUCCAUUUUGAAGUCUGCUUCCUGUGGAGCCCAACCUGUGAUGCUUUGUUCUGUUUUUAAAUAGAUUCUACUCUGACCUUCCUCCUCACUGGCAAUAAUGUCAGUCGGCAUUUAUCGAGUGCCCAUAUGAGAUGAGGAAACUGGGGCCCAGAGAAGUUAAACGCCAUCUCUGAAGUUCCGUCACAGAUCAGCACGAGGGCAAGGAACGAAGACCACGGUCUACACUGCGCCUUUGCUUUCUUUGCCAAUUCGCUGUGUGUUUCUCCAAAUGAAUCUUUUGAUACUCUAUUGGUCUCUGUCCAGAGGUUUAUCCUUCCAUACUACACAGUGUCCUUCGGUAGCCAACUGGUGUGUUAAGGAGAUUGUAAGGGGGUGGGGGAG